GGGAACCCAAAUUAAGCGGGACUACCCGCUGAGUUUAAGCAUAU
rnacentral:rRNA from 1 species